AAUAUUGCACACUGGGCUAAAGCCUGAUGCAGCACCGCCGCGUGAGUGAUGAAGGUCUUCGGGUCGUAAAGCUCUUUGAUCAGGGAUGAUAAUGACAGUACCUGAAAAACAAGCCACGGCUACCUACGUGCCAGCAGCCGCGGUAAUACGUAGGUGGCGAGCGUGUUCCGGAAUUACGGGGCGUAAAGGAUGCGUAGGUGGAUACUUAAGGUGGAUGUGAAAUCCCCGGGCUCAACCCGGGAACUGCAUUCCAAACUGGGUAUCUAGAGUGCAGGAGAGGAAAGCGGAAUUCCUAGUGUAGCGGUGAAAUGCGUAGAUAUUAGGAGGAACACCAGUGGCGAAGGCGGCUUUCUGGACUGUAACUGACACUGAGGCAUGAAAGCGUGGGUAGCAAACAGG
rnacentral:rRNA from 1 species